GUAAAUAUAGUUUAAUAAAAACACUAGAUUGUGAUUCUAGAGAUAAAAGUUAAACCCUUUUUAUUCACC
rnacentral:tRNA from 1 species